GACGAACGCUGGCGGCGUGCUUAAUACAUGCAAGUCGAACGGAAAGGCCCUGCUUUUGUGGGGUGCUCGAGUGGCGAACGGGUGAGUAACACGUGAGUAACCUGCCCUUGACUUUGGGAUAACUUCAGGAAACUGGGGCUAAUACCGGAUAGGAGCUCCUGCUGCAUGGUGGGGGUUGGAAAGUUUCGGCGGUUGGGGAUGGACUCGCGGCUUUUCAGCUUGUUGGUGGGGUAGUGGCUUACCAAGGCUUUGACGGGUAGCCGGCCUGAGAGGGUGACCGGCCACAUUGGGACUGGGAUACGGCCCAGACUCCUACGGGAGGCAGCAGUGGGGAAUAUUGCACAAUGGGCGGAAGCCUGAUGCAGCAACGCCGCGUGCGGGAUGACGGCCUUCGGGUUGUAAACCGCUUUCGCCUGUGACGAAGCGUGAGUGACGGUAAUGGGUAAAGAAGCACCGGCUAACUACGUG
rnacentral:rRNA from 1 species